rnacentral:lncRNA from 1 species
GACGAGCCAGUGCUCGAAGUCGCAGCCAUCGAGGAGGAUAGUCUCCUUGGGAGGGCGGUUGGACCAGUUGGGGUUGGGAUCGCGGAGCGAGGAGGUGGUGGCGUUGGCGGAGAAGCACCGGACGACGGGGGGAGAGAGCUUGCCGGCGGAGGAGAUGGCGGCGCCGGCGAGGGGGCGGAGGCGGUGGAGGAGGGAGAGGGAGGAGCGGGAGUAGGCGGAGGAGAGGGUGGCGGUGGUGGCGGAGGUGGCGGUGGAGAGGGAGCGGGAGAGGAAGGAGGAGGAGAGAGGGGCUAGGGUUUUGGGGAAGGAGCGAGAGAGGAAAUGGGUCGCCAUGGUUUGAUAAACCCGGAGAUGGAAACUGGG